GGGGAGAGAGGACGUUUAGAGGGCCAUUGUCCCUUCUCUCGGGAAUGAUCUGGAAGUACUAUGCAAAUCUUCAUUUGAAGACCCUGGGAACCGGGGGAGGGCUUUAGCUGCGAGCUCAGUAGGAGGGGAGCUGUGUGUCCCUACUCAUGCACUCUUGCCUACUGCAAGGAGCUGGGAAGAGUUUUUUGAACUGGCAGAAGAGACAUUUUGCGCUUUGUGCACUUCUGUGAGGCUUUGCAGUCCUUCUGUCUCCUGCUUUGUGCUUUUUUUUUCCUGCCUACUUCUACAUUUUUGCAUAAGAAUUGGGAAGGGGGGAGAUCUAAGAGUUACUGUUUAUGAGAUCGGGAGGGUGCAGCACCCCUCCUGCCUGCCUUCCUCGCACAUUGAUCUGGAGCCUCCUACCAGACAGUGGUGCAGCUCCAGUCUGAGUUCCACAUCAGCAUAGCCUGACUGCUAGCACUGCAUUAGCAUAGAGCACGGACCUGGUUUCAGUAAGCAAACAGUUCAGCUGGGAAGGAAUAGUGGAGUGAAGUAGUUUGCAGUUCUCAAAUUAGCACAUUGUAGCCAGGUCUUAAAAAGCCCUCUCUUACUGGGGCAAAGACUCACAGCCCAGUACCUGCUUUAUGAAACCCUGCAGUCUGUCCUGGCAUGGCUCAGCACUGUGUGUCACCUGUUUUGUAUUAGGAGCGGGUCACGCUAACUGCCAGUUUCCUGAAGACUGUGUAGGGUCCUGCUGAGGCCUCUUGGAGAGGGAAAUACUCCGGCUGCACAGACACGUGGGGGAGCAGGGCAGAGGGGAAGGGACAGCAUGGAUUCAAACCUGGGCGUGUGGGGCUUUAUACCGUUUAUGCGUGUUAAAGGCCAUCACAGUCUUUUUAAUUUUCCCACCUUCUUGUUCAUGGCAGUAGUCCCACUGUUUAUUUUCAAACGUGGAGGGGGUUUUGUGUUCCAACAAACUCUUAAGAGAAUUACUUUCUCCAGGGCUGUAAUUGUUUGAAUGUAAUGCCAUUCUCUGUAUUCAUCCAAGAAGAUGCAGCCUUUUCAAAAAUCUCACCUUCAGUCAAUGAAACGGAGGACCCCAUACCACAAGGCCUGAUUCUGUUAGCUUCCAUGUAUCCAAAGCUACAGUGACUCAGCUGACUUCGAUGAAUGCCCUCUGGAACUGUGCUAGCUGGAAACCAGCCUCACUCCUACCACCAUGGAACUUUUUUUAUGCUGUGACAUUGUAAUGGGAGGUGGAGACACCUCGAGGAGAAGGUCGAAACAGACACAGCAAUUGCAGGCAGUAAUGUCUGUCUAUGACUGGAGAAAAUCCUGCCUCAA
rnacentral:lncRNA from 1 species